UCUACAUGGAAUCUUGUUGUACUAUGGGAACGUAUUAAUGGCAAGAGAGAAUGACUUUGGCACUUACGAAGUAUAAAAUUUACAGAUACGUAGGAUCCAUUGUCCCGAAAGGGGUUUAAAAUAUGUUGGGUCCAUUCUCGUCCAGGGAUCACAAAAUAUAGGGGAGAGAGUGAAGAGAGAGCAGAGAAAAAAAGGAACAGGAAGAUGAAGAAUCAGCACAGUCGAGCACCACCGGUUUCAGACUUAGUCUUCGCUGUUUUUGUUUGAAUUUUAUUUUUUGGUUUUGACCUUUUCUUGUUUUUUUUCAGGAGAUAAGAGUUAGUUUUUGAUUUGUUAUCGUACUCUUUGAAAUCCUUCGUCGUGAAUGGAUAGUGUGGAGUGGAGGAUAGCUCUUUCUCCAAUUGAUGCUUGCAGUGACAGAUCAAGAGACGGCAGUUGCGAUGAACGUCAGUGGGUUUCACCAUUUGCCUUUCAGGUUGGGCUAUGGGCUUGGUGGUUUGUGGUUUUGGUUUGGGGAUUUGUUUCCUGAGCUAUGAGUUGGAGUUUUUGUUCACGGAUUCUGGACUUUUAUAUACUUUUAGUUUACAGGACGUUUUAAUGCAACACAUGUAUUGUUAAAAAAUAAAAAUAAAGAUAUGCAUAAAAAAAAUUAU